AUACGUAGGGUGCAAGCGUUAAUCGGAAUUACUGGGCGUAAAGCGUGCGCAGGCGGUUUUGUAAGUCUGACGUGAAAUCCCCGGGCUCAACCUGGGAAUUGCGUUGGAGACUGCAAGGCUAGAAUCUGGCAGAGGGGGGUAGAAUUCCACGUGUAGCAGUGAAAUGCGUAGAGAUGUGGAGGAACACCGAUGGCGAAGGCAGCCCCCUGGGUCAAGAUUGACGCUCAUGCACGAAAGCGUGGGGAGCAAACAGGAUUAGAAACCCCAGUAGUCC
rnacentral:rRNA from 1 species